GACGAACGCUGGCGGCGUGCCUAAUACAUGCAAGUAGAACGCUGAAGCUUGGUGCUUGCACCGAGCGGAUGAGUUGCGAACGGGUGAGUAACGCGUAGGUAACCUGCCUGGUAGCGGGGGAUAACUAUUGGAAACGAUAGCUAAUACCGCAUAACAGUAGAUAUCGCAUGAUAUGUGCUUGAAAGGUGCAAUUGCAUCACUACCAGAUGGACCUGCGUUGUAUUAGCUAGUUGGUGAGGUAACGGCUCACCAAGGCAACGAUACAUAGCCGACCUGAGAGGGUGAUCGGCCACACUGGGACUGAGACACGGCCCAGACUCCUACGGGAGGCAGCAGUAGGGAAUCUUCGGCAAUGGACGGAAGUCUGACCGAGCAACGCCGCGUGAGUGAAGAAGGUUUUCGGAUCGUAAAGCUCUGUUGUAAGAGAAGAACGAGUGUGAGAGUGGAAAGUUCACACUGUGACGGUAUCUUACCAGAAAGGGCGGCU
rnacentral:rRNA from 1 species